UACGUAGGGUGCGAGCGUUGUCCGGAAUUAUUGGGCGUAAAGGGCUCGUAGGCGGUUUGUCGCGUCGGGAGUGAAAUCCACUGGCUUAACUGGGGGCGUGCGGGCGAUACGGGCAGACUGGAGUACUGCAGGGGAGACUGGAAUUCCUGGUGUAGCGGUGGAAUGCGCAGAUAUCAGGAGGAACACCGGUGGCGAAGGCGGGUCUCUGGGCAGUAACUGACGCUGAGGAGCGAAAGCGUGGGGAGCGAACAGG
rnacentral:rRNA from 1 species